GGGGGCAGAUACGGGUGAGUGUGACAGAGGCUACAGAGAGAAGGAUUUUGAAUGUUUCCAGCUCUGUAAAGAAAUUUAGCACACCACACAACUCUUCUUUCUCCAAAAGCAAUCAAAUCAACAAACAAAUACACAAGAGCGUGACUCCCCCUUAGCCACACAUGGCCACUCCAAAUGCAGAGCAGAGUGGCCCGUGGCUGGGGAAGAUGAGGUAAGACAGGGCCCUGGGGCUGUGGAGGCUGUUGGCCCCUUUCCCGGGAACCUAAGACUCUCCCAGAGCCCACAGGGUGGCGGGACAGGGGACAAAAAUUCCUAUCUAGUCUCUGUGCAUUGGAGCUGGGCGUUCUGCCAAGAACGAGUUGUCUUCUCAGGCUGCUUCUUAAACAGAAUUGGGUUCUGGGACUAGUGACCCCGGGGGACGGGUGACCAGAACAUAGACCGGCUCUUGAGGAGUCCUAUGAGCAGAUGCAGAUUUGCCCAAAGUCAUCAAGCACUUACCGUGUGCCUGGCAGGGUCGCAAGUCCUCAGUGUGUUUUUAUCUCUUUGGACCUCCUCACCCCCACUCCGGGGACCCUUUGGCAGUGGCUGCUGCCCCGUGUUGAGCCCAAAUGGAGCUGAGACUGUAUUUGCCCGAUUUGGACUCUCUUGGUCCCCGAAUGGACACCAUGACCGCAGGGUUGCGGAUCUGGAAGGCAGGCUUUGGGGCUGCCUGGGGCUUGUAGCGCUUGACGUAUGCAGGUGAACCAGCAAAACGGUGUCCCGAGCAGGCUGCACACACUGUUAAGAAUCCUAAUGCAGGAGUGAGCGGUCUUCUUGGCGUCGGUGGCUCACUUUGAACAGGGUUUGCUGUCAGAUUCCCGAGAGGGCAAAAUGUUAUCAGGAGAUCAAUCAACACGUCCCCUCUGCUCUGGCCAAAGCAGAAAUCCCCAGUUUUGCAACAUCCUUGUUCCUUUUUCGCACGCAGGGGGAGAAGGUGGGAGCUUUGCUUAGUCUCACUCUGAUGGGAUGGGCUGUGACCGCUGGUGGUACCUGCCGUAUAAGAAAUGGCUGGGAAUGGUCAUGGAGCAUUUUCUUGAUGGUAUGAAUGACACAAGCCAAAAGACUGCCUUGGUCCACCGUCAGUCCGUUUCCGGGACACCGAUGAGCCAGACUGGGAGUCUCCAAAGUCCCUGGUUCUGAUGCUGAAUUCUGCUGGUUCCGUGGGCCACCUGCUCCUGAUUACUGGAUGCAGGGAUUCUCUCCUGUGUUCGGCUAUGAAGGCAUCUGAUAAAGCCCGGCUGCUUUACUGCCUGGCUGAUGCUGAUCUGUGGAGAGUUUUUAUUGCUUUACACAUCGGUGCUUAUCCCUCUGGGCGAUAAGAAACCAACAAGACUGUCUUGGUAGGAGGGGCCCAGAGCCACCAGCAUUGUUCUCCACCUAAACCACUGGGUGUGACAUGGGACUUGGGGUCACAGUUGGGGUCCAUGUGUUCUCUGCUUGGAGGCCAUGACCUCCUGUCCCUGGAGAUGAGGUCCUCCAGGGCAGAGGUGCAUAGAGCAUUCUGGGGCAGCUGGAAAGGGGAGGCCACUGUGUUUUUUGUCCUGGGUCUUACCCCAGUGGCUGCUGGAGAGGGGCCUUGGGGGCAAGGAGAUGUGGGGCAGGUCCUGGCCAAGUGGGAAGAAGCAAAUUCACCUCCGAGGGGCCAGCCUCACCUCUCAGCCCUUCUCCUCCCCACCUUUCCCUCCUCUCUUCCCUGCUCAUCUGGGUCUCCCUCCUCCUCCUCCUUUUUUUCUGGCCUUUGUCCAACUUUCCAGGCACGUGAUUUCUGUGUGCUCCUCACCCUGUGAUAUGCUACCCUCUGUGAUAUCAGGGCCUGUUCCCCCCAGCUCCUGUGUUCUCAAGGGGCCCCUGGACCAGCCCCACUGCCAGCUGCUCUCUCCUAGCCUGUGGGCAGGCCAUUCAUUAACGGAGAAGGCCUUCCAAGGACCCAUGGCUUCUUUGGAACUCACAACAAAACAGGUUCUGUAAGGAUUAGUGAGGCACCAGCUUUUAUGCAAUAACAGCUAAUCCCUUGUUUUCAUAACAAGGUUGGGAGAAUCUGUUUCUUGUUUCUCCAGCUUGUUUGUUGAUUCUAAAUAGCUGCAGUGCCCGUGGCAGGGAUGGUUAAACUCCAUCCAUGACUCAUUGGUACCCCUGUCUCUGCCUCACAGGUGUCACUGCUGUCCUUGGAGCUGGCCGUCCUCUGAUCACUCAGCUGUCCUCAGUCCUGGAUGCAUGUGGAAAUCACCAGGAGCUUAAAAAAUUACUGAUGUCUAGUCCCGCCCCGAGGCUUCUGAUUUAAGUGGUUUGGAUGGUGGCCUGGGCAUUGAGAUUUUUUAAAUAUCUCCUGGUACUUCUCAUAUGCAACCAUGAAGAAAACCAUUGCUUUCUGUGAAUUCAGGAAAGACUGAAGGCACACACCGAAACACAUCUCAGUAGAAGUCUUCAGCGUGAAGUUUCCACCUCAGUGAUCUGAACCUUCAAUGUACACGUUUAGGCUGAGAGGCAAUUGUGAAUCCAGACAUAUUCACGGCUACACUUCAGAAGACAGUAGGAGCCCCAUGCACCCAUCUUGGCAAUCUGAGUUUGAGAAGUUCUUCAUCUGACUUUCCAAAAGACUACAGGAAAGGCUCACUUGGAGGAAUACAGUGGAGACGUCCGGCAUCUGGACAUUCCUUCUGCGUGAUGGCACACAUCUGGCUCUUUGGAAUGAGCAGGACGUUUCCUUUCCAGUUUCCCUCCAGAUGUCUGAGGAUGUGAAGAUACAGCCCAAGAGAUGUCCACGGAAAUGCCACAUAAAGCAAGACGCUGUGCACUUAGGGAUUCUUGCAGUUUUGGGUGCAAUGUCUGAAACGAAGGAGGUUAAGAUCCUCAGCCAUGAAGAAUCCAGCACGUAUAUCUUUAGGGGACAGCAAAACAAACAAACAAACAAAUCACCCCGGAGACAUGUCUGUUUCAUCAGUCAAGGACGCCUGUGGACACUAGGCGAGGGCCAAACCAAAUGCCUGCGCUCGGAAAAUACCCACUGGGCUGAGGAGGGGCAAGGGAGGAGGUGGUCAAGGAUAGCCUGGCGGCCUCCCUCCAAAACCCCAGCUUGGAAAUGCUUUGUUACAGGCAAGUGUCGGUGGCUUAGGUUCGAGUGGGUGAAACCUGGACCAAGAAGGUGGUCCUGCCGAGUGGAGGAGAUGAAAAUGUGCUGGUGCUCAGGCAAUUUCAGGGUUCUGGAGUAUUUUCUUUUAGUGCGUGCUAUUAGAAGAACUCCUGGCUGUAAGGGGCUGUGCAGAUAGGCAGAGAGCACCCUGGCUCGGCUCUCCAGGUUUUGUGCUCAGCCUUGCUGUUAACUCCCUGCAACGUGGGGGACUCACUCCACCUUCCGAGUCUGAGUCUCCGUUUCUCCUUAUCUUCUUCGGCAGAUUCCCUUUGCAAGAGGAAUUCCUGGCAGAGUUCUGCUUCUUUCCCCUCCUCCUUCUCCUUUGUCUGUAACCAUGUUCCUGCUGAAUAAAUCCGUCCCCAUAUCCUCACGGACACAGGCCUGAAACCCCUCGAGAUGUACUAACGGCAGGCAGAGUGUGUGUUUGGGGAGGGGGUGGCUGGGUAACGCUGCUGCGUGUGGAUUGCAAGGGGGACAAAAAACCGUGCAGACAGAUGCUUUUCUCUUUCUGUUCUUCUCUGGUGGAGGUUUCCCCCAGGCUUGGCCUGGUUGGAGCAGAGCUGAGCAUCAGGACAUUCUGAGUUCAGAAGGCAAGAAAGAAAAUGCAAUCGGCAAGGAUUUUCUCUUGCUCACGCCCCAUCCUGAGUGCGGCCUGGUGGCGGGGACUGUGGUCUGAAGCAGCGCUUCCCAAAGUGUGCCCCAUCCCCUCCACCUGGUUAGCAGCCAACAUUGCCCAGAUUCAGAUUCAGGGAAGGAGUGUGGAUACAGCCGGGGUGGGGGGCAUUCUCAGUCUUGGUUCACUUCCCAGUGGAUUCUUGCUGUGUUUCUCAAUCACUUUUUUCAUUAUCACCUCCCUUAGGAGAAAAAUUAGCUUCGAUUAAAGUUCUGCCUGUUGAAGGAAAUGAAAUACUGAGAAGUAAGCUUUUGAUGGGUAGCAUUCACCUUUGGAAAGCCACAAACCGUGAUAAUAUCUGUGGUUUUUGGCCCCAGAGAAUUAAUUUGUGCCCCAUUAGGGGUGAUGUCUCCCACCUUGAGAGGGCAUGCUUUGGAGGUCCAAGCAGGUGUUUCAACAAAAUUGCCUGGUUUCCAGAGGCCAUACCUGGCGUCUCCUUCUUCUUUUCCUGGGACAGAUGGGAAACUGUCCCAGGAAAAGAAACUCAUUCCUAAUUUGCUUAGAACCUGAUCAGGUUUGUGAUAGAGAUAACAGAUAGAAGAAUUAUUAAUGUAUGGAGGGGAUUUGGAAUAGGUUUUAAGAGGAAGGGUUCACAUUUUAGUUCUGCUUGUUGUUGGCUAGUUAACCUUAGGCAAGUUAUGUAACCUUCCUGGGCUUCACUUUCUCAAUCUGUAAAUUGGAAAUAGUAUGACCUCACCGGGUUUUUGUGACUAUUUAAUGAUAAAGUACAUGACAUGUGCUUAAGAGAGUGCCUGGCACCUAUUUAGCUUUUAUUGGAGUCCCCAUUUGUUCAUUUUCAUGAUUAAUUUUUAAUCUGAUUACCUAAUUUCAGGCAUGUGAAGUGAUAAUAAGCAAGUGUUCCCAAAUAACACUUUUAUGU